UCUGCGGUGCUGCUUUAUUUAAAUGUGUACUAUAAUGCAAAUAGCUCGUGUGCACUCUUCCAGGUGAUAACAAUUAUUUGACACUUAUAAGCAUGCAUAAUUGCUUCUUAGGGUUUGGUGGCUGUUUGUUGACAUGUGUACAGCCCCAAGAUGACGAAAAUUAUGCUCUAGAGUAUAGUUGAAUGCUUAUUGUAUUAUCCGACAAUUAUAAUGGUGUGGGCCUUGAGUGGAUGCUGUAGGUUAGAUUCACAUGCGCUCAAGGUAAGUGCUCAAAUGAGUACAUAGACUAAGCGAUGAUAGCUUUGGUUGCAGCUAUAUAUACUUUGCUCACUGCGUUAGUGUAUUUAUGAUGAAGUAGCAGAAUUCACUGCUCAUUUAAAAGAUGCCGGUGUAAACAACCGUGGUUUUAUUUGUUUUAAGGAGAGCAGCCAGUUGCUAGUACUGUCAUUCGUUUUUAUAAAUUUUUUAUUCAUGUGUGCAGAAUCAAGCCUCACUGCUUGAUGUGCACAUUUGAGUGCUUUUGUUCCGUUUGCAUUGUCAACUGCUCUGCUGGUGUCUGCGCUUUUCCAGAACCCAAACAUGCUCGCAUUUAAGUUUAAGAAUGAUUCAAUACAGUGGCUAGACAGGGACAAGCAAGUCGAGAAACAGUAGUGUUUGUGAGUCCACUUGCUUGUCCUCGCGUGUGAAUGCGAUGAAACAUUCUUGAGUCUUCAUUAUAAACAAGGCUAAUCAUCAAUGCUCAUUAAGCUCAUCUCAACUGCAUCUUACUGUUGUAUAUGCCAUUUUAGAGGACUAAAGCAACUGCAAACAUCACUAGAAACAUAAUGUAUGAGUCACGUAUCACGAAUUUUGAAGUCUAAGGUACCCAAUUUAUCUCUUACUCGCAGUUUUGGCUUCCAAUGCGCAACAUUUCAGUAUUGCUGUAUCUUAUAUUUUUAAAUUUCACUGCAUUUCAUUUGCAGAAAGCCGAUCACCUGCAUCACAACUUCUUUUGGGCCUGUACGACCAAGAGGAGGAAUUGCCUACCCCCGAAAGAGUGAUUUGUCACACUUCGUUGCGUGAAGACAACGGGCCAGCUGAUGACUGCACAACACAGGAGUCUGAUGAUGCUGAGGCCUUAGGACCACAGCUGCAGGAAAGGCAGCAGGUUCAAAGGAAGCGUCGUUAUGCUCUAGCAGCUCCAAGAGGAUUGAGAGCCCUACAGUCUUUAGCAUUAGAGUUUCUGGCAAAACGAGAGGAACACGAAUUUCUGCUUCGAAAGGAAGAACUUGCCCUAACGAAAAGGAGACUCGAAUACGACGAGAGGCGUCUCAUGUUUGAAGAGGAAAAACACAGGUGUGAAGAGGAGCACAGAAGAGAAGAAAGGCAGCGGCUGAUGGAACGUUUGGAACGCUUGGAAAGGAUACGAAAUGACCCAACAUCCUAAAAGGUUGUGAAGAAUGCUGAUGUAUUUGAUUUGUGAAAUACAUUGUGCAAAAGCUUUCUAUGGUGUGUCACUCAAAUAGUGUUUUCAUGCCAAUUUACUAAACAUACCUUGGACCAACUCUUUCUCAGUAGCUAUCUGCACAU